AAAGGUAAGCUACUAAGAGCGAAUGGUGGAUGCCUUGACUGGUAAAGGCGAUGAAGGACGUACUAGACUGCGAUAAGCUACGGGGAGCUGUCAAGAAGCUUUGAUCCGUAGAUUUCCGAAUGGGGCAACCCAAUGUAUAGAGAUAUACAUUACCUAUAUAGGAGCGAACGAGGGGAAUUGAAACAUCUUAGUACUCUCAGGAAAAGAAAUCAAUAGAGAUUGCGUCAGUAGCGGCGAGCGAAAGCGCAAGAGGGCAAACCCAGUGCUUGCACUGGGGGUUGUAGGACUGCAAUGUGCAAGAGGUAAGUUUAGCAGAACAUUCUGGAAAGUAUAACCAUAGAGGGUGAUAGUCCCGUAUGCGAAAAACAAACCUUAGCUAGCAGUAUCCUGAGUAGGGCGGGACACGAGGAAUCCUGUCUGAAUCCGGGUCGACCACGAUCCAACCCUAAAUACUAAUACCAGAUCGAUAGUGCACAAGUACCGUGAGGGAAAGGUGAAAAGAACUGAGGUGAUCAGAGUGAAAUAGAACCUGAAACCAUUUGCUUACAAUCA
rnacentral:rRNA from 1 species